UACAGAGGGGGCGAGCGUUGUUCGGAAUUACUGGGCGUAAAGGGCGCGUAGGCGGCCUUCUAAGUCGGAUGUGAAAUCCCCAGGCUCAACUUGGGAACUGCAUCCGAUACUGGAUGGCUUGAAUUCGGGAGAGGGAUGCAGAAUUCCAGGUGUAGCGGUGAAAUGCGUAGAUAUCUGGAGGAAUACCGGUGGCGAAGGCGGCAUCCUGGACCGACAUUGACGCUGAGGAGCGAAAGCCAGGGGAGCAAACGGG
rnacentral:rRNA from 1 species